rnacentral:rRNA from 1 species
AGUGAACGCUGGCGGUGGGCCUAAUACAUGCAAGUCGAGCGACAGCACAGUAAGCGCUUGCUCUUACGGUUGGCGACUGGCGGACGGGUGAGGCAUACAUCGCCAUCUUCUUUUUCGUGGGGGAUUACGUAAGGCAACUGAUGCUACUACCGCAUACGUCCUACGGGUUAGAUCAAGGGAUCUUCGGACUCUUCCCGUCUCAAUUAGCCGAUGUCGGAUUAGCUAGUUGGUGAGGUAAAGUCCCACCAAGGCAACGAUCCGUAGCCGGCCUGAGAGGAUGAUCAGCCACACUGGAACUGAGACACGGUCCAGACUCCUACGGGAGGCAGCAGUAGGGAAUAUUCGACAAUGGGCGCAAGCCUGACGCAGCAAUGCCGCGUGGGUGAUGAAGGUCUUCGGGUUGUAAAGCUCUUUUAUUGGGAAAGAAAAGCUGCGGGAGAAUACCCCGCUGUUCUGACGGUACCUAAUGAAUAAGCACCGGCUAACUUCGUG